CCGGGAUUGCCUUAGUAACGGCGAGUGAAGCGGCAAAAGCUCAAAUUUGAAAUCUGGUACCUUCGGUGCCCGAGUUGUAAUUUGGAGAGGGCAACUUUGGGGCCGUUCCUUGUCUAUGUUCCUUGGAACAGGACGUCAUAGAGGGUGAGAAUCCCGUGUGGCGAGGAGUGCGGUUCUUUGUAAAGUGCCUUCGAAGAGUCGAGUUGUUUGGGAAUGCAGCUCUAAGUGGGUGGUAAAUUCCAUCUAAAGCUAAAUAUUGGCGAGAGACCGAUAGCGAACAAGUACAGUGAUGGAAAGAUGAAAAGAACUUUGAAAAGAGAGUGAAAAAGUACGUGAAAUUGUUGAAAGGGAAGGGCAUUUGAUCAGACAUGGUGUUUUGUGCCCUCUGCUCCUUGUGGGUAGGGGAAUCUCGCAUUUCACUGGGCCAGCAUCAGUUUUGGUGGCAGGAUAAAUCCAUAGGAAUGUAGCUUGCCUCGGUAAGUAUUAUAGCCUGUGGGAAUACUGCCAGCUGGGACUGAGGACUGCGACGUAAGUCAAGGAUGC
rnacentral:rRNA from 1 species